rnacentral:rRNA from 1 species
CAGCUCGUGUUGUGAAAUGUUGGGUUAAGUCCCGCAACGAGCGCAACCCUUAUCCUUUGUUGCCAGCGGUCCGGCCGGGAACUCAAAGGAGACUGCCAGUGAUAAACUGGAGGAAGGUGGGGAUGACGUCAAGUCAUCAUGGCCCUUACGACCAGGGCUACACACGUGCUACAAUGGCGCAUACAAAGAGAAGCGACCUCGCGAGAGCAAGCGGACCUCAUAAAGUGCGUCGUAGUCCGGAUUGGAGUCUGCAACUCGACUCCAUGAAGUCGGAAUCGCUAGUAAUCGUGGAUCAGAAUGCCACGGUGAAUACGUUCCCGGGCCUUGUACACACCGCCCGUCACACCAUGGGAGUGGGUUGCAAAAGAAGUAGGUAGCUUAACCUUCGGGAGGGCGCUUACCACUUUGUGAUUCAUGACUGGGGUGAAGUCGUAACAAGGUAACCGUAGGGGAACC